GUGAUGGCAAGAAUGCCAGAGGUAACCAGCGGGAGACCAGGAACCGCCAAGCAAAACAAGACGGGAUGGACGACAACCAGAAGGCCUUGGGCUCUAUGAGGCAUGAAGAUAAAUUGGAGAUGUUGGAGAUAACAGAUGGAGAAACUGAGAAAAAAAGAUUGGCGGUUUUUGAAGAAAUCUCAUUAAAGUUUAUUAGAUU